CUCUUCUACUCUCUGCGUGCAAGAACAGAGAGAAAGCAAAACUGACUAGGCACUUUCACUCGUGAUUUAGGGCGAUUUAGAGUCGGACUUUGAAUAUGCUGAAGUUGAAGAAAAGAUAGACGAAGGUAUUAUUUUAUUAUUUUCUGGAGUCAUUUAGAGCUUCAGGAGUAGGAUUUGUGUAGCGAAGUCAACUACGAAGUUGAAGAUCAAGGUAAAAUAAUUCAUCUUAGUAGCAAACAAGGAGGAGAUGACGUGAUUGAAGAAAUUGUGUAUCCAUCUUCGCUGUCCCUUUUGAGGUUGACUCCGUUCAUAUAGCACUGGUGACGGAUAUUUAUUGGAACUAUUUUGACGCUUAAUUGCAUUCGCAAGCACAUCCAUAUUGGAGCUAAGGUACUAUGGAAAAACUUCAUGCCCAACCGAUCUGAAAAAUCCGUCACCUCCUUCACCUUGCAAAGAUCCCCACACCAACACCGCAGGCCUGCCAUCCCCGGAGGCAAACUUGCAUUCUUCAUUUUCCUCGGCCUAAUGCUUUGAUCCGAGCAAGGCAAACUCAUACCGGCUAGAAAAAUGUGUUACACACUUUGCGCAGUGGCGAUUUCGAGGAUGGCUGGACGAAGAUGACGAGAGCCUCAGUGUCUCCUUUUAUAGGCU